CUGUAUACUUCUAUAUCGAAGGUUUGCCUGCGACGCAGAAGUUUGCGGGUUCGAUUCCCGCUUCGG
rfam:Operophtera brumata OBRT01_Sc01916, whole genome shotgun sequence.